rnacentral:lncRNA from 1 species
UCCUUCCCUCCUCUCUCUUUCUCCUCCUCAAUUUCCUUCUCCCUCUCCACCUCCUCACUAAUUUCUCACUUCAAUUGCUAAAUCAUCCUAGUCUGCCACAUGCACAACUCAAUAUGCCCUGAACCAGACAAUUCAAGAUGGUUCCACAAAUCCUAUAUGCUAUGUUGGACCUUCUUGGUAAGGGUUCCAUACUAUAUUUUGGAUCCUAUUACAAAAAUAAUGUGAUUGUAGUUGUAUAGAUGCAUGAGUUAACAAACUAUUUUGAAAAAUGAUUAUAAAAGCCAUUGGCAUAAGAAUAUUUAAUUUGAUAUACUUGCUCAAUCCUUUGAUCUAAGUUUUGGUUACUAGACUAUUAGCUCACUCCUUGGUCUCUCUUUUAACAAGUCCAAUAUAUAGGAGGGAAUGGCUCGGGAGGUUUGGACUGUGAACUUAAAGAGACCUAGAUUUGGUUGGAUCAAACCAGCUUUUACGAUUUUGUUGGAACCC